AGCUCAGUGGUAGAGUGCUUGCCUUGCAUGCAUGAGGCCUUGGGUUCAAUUCCUUA
rnacentral:tRNA from 1 species